ensembl:lncRNA
GUAUGCCGGGAGGUAAGAAGAACCAACGUCAGUGUGUUGCUUGCCAGCAUUUAAUAUAUGUUGCAUGCAAAAAAUGCCCUCACUGCAAAGCACAGCAGCCUUACAAGAAAAGACUGAUUGAGGCCAGAACCAAGUUUGCAGCUCAGAAGUCUGAAUAUGUCAAAAACAUAAAGAAGAACUGUAACCAAACCCAUGUGCUAGAGUCAAGCUUCAAAGUGCUGGAUCGCCUUGAAGCUGUUGGAUACUACCCCAUAUUACUUUUGGGGAGUAAAAAAAAAUCAACAUUUACUGCAGAUGUCAUCAGCAGCAUUGGGCUGAAUAUUCAUGAGGAGCUUCUGGGAAAGCUGAAGGAGGUCUUUGGUUCAAUCCUGAAGUUACACUCCCGAAAUCUGGAGAAGGAGAAGGUAGCUGAAGUUGAAGACAGUAUCCCUGCUAGGGAGUCAGCUGGUCAGGAAGAGGAUAUGAUGCAGCAAGGUACAGACUGUUUUCCAGUCAACGCCACACUGACGUAGAAAGGGAUGUGUGUGUAUCCUAUAGGUGCAAAAGAAUGCACAACGGGCUUGCAACUUUGGAAAAAAUG